AGUGAACGCUGGCGGCAGGCCUAACACAUGCAAGUCGAACGGACCCUCCGGGAUUAGUGGCGGAUGGGUGAGUAACACGUGGGAACGUGCCCUUUGGUUCGGAACAACUCAGGGAAACUUGAGCUAAUACCGGACGUGCCCUUCGGGGGAAAGAUUUAUUGCGAUUGGUGCGGCCCGCGUCUGAUUAGCUAGUUGGUGAGGUAAUGGCCCACCAAGGCGACGAUCAGUAGCUGGUUUGAGAGGAUGAUCAGCGACACUGGGACUGAGACACGGCCCAGACUCCUACGGGAGGCAGCAGUGGGGAAUCUUGCGCAAUGGGCGGAAGCCUGACGCAGCCAUGCCGCGUGAAUGAUGAAGGUCGUAGGAUUGUAAAAUUCUUUCAGCGGGGACGAUAAUGACGGUACCCGCAGAAGAAGCUCCGGCUAACUUCGUG
rnacentral:rRNA from 1 species